AUAAGAAUAGGAAGAAGAGGAGGAGAUGAUGUAAGCAGAAGCAGCAGAGAUGCUAACAGUGGAGUGACAGAUGAACCCACAGUGACGGAGCCCAGCAUAUCGCGCACAGACCCAGCAUCUACAGGCUGGCAGGGGAGGCAGCUGGAAGAAGGCUGAUGCAGCACACAUACACACACGCACAUAUACACACACACUGUGAGCUGCAGUGGAGCUAGCUUCUGACAGCAUUAUGCACAGGAGGCUGAUCAGCACAAACAACGAUGUUGCCUCCAAAACAUCCUGAUGCACGGCGCAGAUGUAGUCAGAAUUCAGGUUGACAUUUAGCUGGAGGAGGGUGCGGAGCCAGCAGGUGUUGGUUAUGUCAAAACGAGGAGUAGGAGGACGAGGGAAGGCAGAGCGACCAGAUGCUAUGGCAACACUUCAAGCAGCAAAUGAGGAACUGAGAGCAAAACUAAUGGAGAUUCAGAUUGAACUCCAGCAGGAAAAAAACAAGGUGAGCCGUCUGGAGAGGGAGAAGAGUCAGGAGCUGAAGGCAGAGCAUAACCGUACAACUGUCACCCUGACGGAGCUGAAGACCAAACUCCAUGAAGAGAAGCAGAAAGAGCUGGCAGUUACCAGGGAGACAUUGCUACGGCAACAUGAGAUGGAGUUAAUGAGGGUCAUUAAGAUCAAAGAUGGAGAAAUCCAACGUCUGAAUGGACUGGUCCAAAAUCUGAGGGACGGAUCCACAGAAAAGGUGAGGAGCACCUUGAUGGGGGAGGUGGAGGAGGCAAGGAGGAACUGGGAGGCGGAGCGCUGUCGCCUCCAGCAGGAGGUUCAGGAGGUGCGAGGAUCAAAGAAGCAUGCAGAGGAAGCCCUGGUAUUGGCCCAGCAGGCCUGCCAGGCCCGUGCAGCUGAGCUCCGAUCAGCUCAUCACCAGCACCAGGAGGAGCUCAACAGAACCAAGAGAGACUGUGAGAGGGAGAUCCGCCGACUGAUGGAUGAGAUAAAGCUGAAGGACAGAGCAGUCAGUGUUUUGGAUAAAGCUUUGGGGCUGCAGGCUGGACAUGCCCACCGCCUCCAGUUGCAGACUCAGGCUGCUGAACAACAGAUCGCUGCCAUGAGAGAUGCACAGAGGGUGGGGCUAAACCAUCCUGCUUCUAACUCCACCCCUAACAAUGCUCCUUUCAUUUCUCAGGAUGAUCGAGAUACUCGGAGGUUUCAGCUAAAGAUUGCUGAGCUAAGUGCAGUCAUCAGGAAACUGGAAGAUAGAAACUCUCUGCUGUCUGAAGAACGUAAUGAACUGUUAAAGCGUCUGAGGGAAACAGAAAGUCAGUUUCUUCCUCUUCUGGAUAAAAACAAACGUCUGAGCAGGAAAAACGAAGAGCUGGCUCUCUCCCUGCGUCGCCUGGAUAACAAACUUCGCUUUGUGACCCAGGAGAACUUGGAGAUGGCAACUAUGAGGAGACCCAGUUCACUAAACGACUUGGACCGAAGCCACUCCACAAGUUAUCAUGGUUACAACCAAGAUGAGAGAGAGAUGGACUUUCUACGCUUACAGGUGGUGGAGCAGCAACAUAUCAUUGAUGACCUCUCCAAGGAGCGAGACUGGUUACUGAGGUACAGACGUCAGGAACCAGUGAGAAGGAGGAGAACCUUCAGAGCAUGCAGGGUCAUAGAGACAUUUUAUGGUUAUGAUGAAGAGACGUCGAUGGAUUCUGAUGGAUCAUCUUUGUCCUUCCACACCGACAGAACUCCAGACACUGAACCUGAAGAGACUUGUGUACGUGAGGAGGCAGAACUUCGAUACCGUCAGCUUACUCAGGAGUAUCAGGCUCUGCAGCGAGCAUACGCUCUGCUGGCUGAGACAUGUGGAGGAAACUACGAUGCUGAGAAGGAGAUCAAGACCAGAGAGCAGCUGCUGAAUGAAAUCAGUCGAUAUCAGAGCAGAGUGGCAGAUCUGGAGUCAGCGCUGAAACAUCAAGGAUUGGACGUGAAGUGGGUGGAGGAGAAGCAUGCACUGUAUCAGAGGAACCAGGAGUUGGUGGAGAAGAUGAGGCAGAUGGAAGGUGAAGAGCUGCAGCUGAAAGAUGACAUUCAGGAUAUCAGAGAUCAAAAUGAGCUGCUGGAGUUCAGGAUCUUAGAACUGGAGGAGAGGGAGCGCCGCUCACCUGGCAUUAACUUCAAACAACUGCACUUCCCAGAAGGUCUCAGUCCCCUUCAGAUCUACUGUGAAGUUGAGGGGAUCACGGACAUUGUCAUCAGUGAGUUGUUGAAGAAGCUGGACAUUCUGGGGGAUAACGCCGUAAGUAAUCUGUCCAAUGAGGAGCAGGUGGCAGUGAUCCAUGCCAGGACGGUGCUCACUCUGACAGAAAAGUGGCUGGAGUCCAUCGAAGUGACAAAGUCAGCUCUGCAGCAGAAGAUGUUGGACAUUGAGAACGAGAAGGAUCUCUUCAGAAAACAGAAAGGCUACCUGGAUGAAGAGCUGGACUUUAGAAAGCAGUCCAUGGAUCAGGCCCAUAAGAGGAUCUUGGAGCUGGAGGCCAUGUUGUUUGAGGCUUUGCAGCAGGAGGAUGCUUCCAGGACUCCAGGACUAAUAAAGGGAGAGGGUCGGCUGUCUGAUUUAUUGACAGAAGAAGAGAAAGAGGAGCUAAGGAGAGCCAUGGACCAGUGGAAACGAUGUGUGAUGUGUGAGCUGAGAGAGAGAGAUGCUCAGAUCCUUCGAGAAAGGAUGGACCUGCUUCAGCUCACACAACAGGUGAACAUCUACAUAACAGAGGAACAAGGAGCUGGAGGAGAGUAUAGAAGCACAGAAACGACAGAUUAAAGAGCUAGAGGAGAAGUUUCUGUUUCUAUUUCUAUUCUUCUCUUUGGCCUUCAUCCUCUGGUCCUGAAUCCAGUCCACCAGAGACCACCAGGUGAACACUCAGCAGUGCAGGCUCAGUCUGGAUCCAAACCAGGUCAUUGUAGGAUUGUGCAGGUCUGAAACCAGCCGCAACAAAGCACAACUCUACUCUUCUAGAUGUCAACUGACCACUGCUUUGUUACAGUCAGUUUCUGCCUCGGAGAUCAAGACUGGUUUCUGUGGCAACAAAGAAAACGUGGGGUUUGGUCUGGAAAUACUCCGAAUGAGAGGAAGAUGUCAGGCAUUAAGCUGAAACAGUCCAUUCACUGGGAUUUGAAAAGUUAAGUUCCAUCUGCAACUGAAACUGCUCAGUCAGCAGCCGAGGAUCACGUGUGGGAGUGCUGAAUGAAGAACCUCACAUGAUGCAAAUACCGAUUGGCUGAAUAACACCUGUGGACCGCAGGGAGCUUUAACAAUUCUGCUUUAACGGUUCUAAAUUUACAUCACCUGAGUUCAUCUUAGAACCAAACAGUGACAGCAGAAACAUCUUUACCACAUCAAGAGAUCUGCUGAGGAAAGAAACUGAAACAGAAAGAAGGAAUCUGGAAGUCCCAUUAAAAACACAAACCUGCUGCAGCCCCAUGUCUCUGCGUGAUGAAGAUCAGCAGAAAAGCUGGAAAGAGUUUAAAUUAAUUUGGAGAUAGAACAAGUCCAAACUGAGUUCAAGAAGGAAACAACCAACUAAUCCACCCGAGUAUACUUUGUGCAGACAUCUUCAGAAUCAGAAUCAGCUUUAUUGCCAAGUUCGUGCAUACAAACAAGGAAUUUGACUCCGGUACACUUUGCUCUUUUGUUCUGUUUUUGCAUUACAGAAUAUACAAAUUUACAAUUUACAAUGUACAAUAUACAAUGUACAAUGCAAUAUUCUGCAUUACAGAAUAAUCAUCUUGUGAUGAUCCUUGGUGCUCAGGUCAUAUCUGAUACCUUGAAGCUUUGCAGAAAUGCAUGCAUGUCAUGUACAUGCAUGCAUUUCCUAACAUGGAUAUAAAAGUGGCAGCAGCAGGUCUUCUUUAGGCCUGGAAGCAAAGACUUAUUCCCAGAGAAGAAAGUUCAAUGUUCGUUUCUUCACCAGGUGCUGGAGGUGGAUUCAACCUCCUCUGUGUUUAGGAGAUCCAACUUUGAGUGGAAACCUUUAAAAUCCAAACAGUGUUUACUUCAUGGAAAAACUUUUAUGGUUUUAUUCCCAAUACUGAUGAUGGAACAUAACUUCACAAAGUUUAAAUGAUUUAUUAAAAAAUAUAAAGUUUUUAUUCUGUUACUGGAGAUAAUCACAUAAAUCUGAAAUGUAGACAUUCACACACAAAAACUAUUGAAUAUUUUGUACUUUAAGUCACUUUUUUUUUUUUUUUUAUUAAAGUCACCCUUCAGAUCAGUUUUUAUUUUAAAAUGAGCACUGUAGUUUUUGGUCAUCAUCAGUCAAAGAGUAGGAAGAGCACAAACUGUGUGUGGAUCCAUUGUCAUUCUCAGUUCCAGCAUCGUAGUCCUGGUUCUGGACUUUUAUUAUCCCAGAUUCUAUUUUUCUAGCCUUGCUGUGAGUCUGAAAAUCUGAGGUCAUCACUGAGAUUAAAAUGUUGGACACCAGAA